GGAAUCUUGAUGAUGCUGCAG
rnacentral:miRNA from 12 species